rnacentral:rRNA from 1 species
UACGUAGGGUGCAAGCGUUGUCCGGAAUUAUUGGGCGUAAAGAGCUCGUAGGCGGUCUGUUGCGUCGGCUGUGAAAACCCGGGGCUCAACCCCGGGCCUGCAGCCGAUACGGGCAGACUAGAGUUCGGCAGGGGGAGACUGGAAUUCCUGGUGUAGCGGUGAAAUGCGCAGAUAUCAGGAGGAACAUCGGUGGCGAAGGCGGGUCUCUGGGCAUGUCCUGACGCUGAGGAGCGAAAGUGUGGGGAGCGAACAGG